AUCAUAUCAAUCUUUAUGAAUAUAAUUUUUUCUCAAACCAAAUGGAGCUUAAGCCCUUUUUUAACUCCGUCAAUGCAACUUCUUGCAUUGCCAGUCCCAAGCCCAGGUAAAGGAGGAGGGAAAAGGGCGUUAAGGUGAGUUGUGUCCUUGUCUUCCAUUUUAUUUUACAUUGAACCUUUUUUUCCCCCAUUUUGUAAUUUAUUAGAAGAUUGUGCUAAAAGUUGUACCAUCUUUUUUCCUGUCUGACAGAGCUCACAGUCGUGGCGGAAGGCAAUAAAUUCCAGGUCUGCGAGAGAUCAUUAAGAGAUUCCCAAAGGAUCCAAAAGAUGCAACAAACAAGGUAAAUAUGUUAUCAAAUAUUUUGCCUUUUUACGUUAUUUUGCUGCAUUUUUAGUGUUUUAAGGAUAAAGUAACAGUGAUGUUUUAUGUAACAGAACCUGGUUUGUGGGAAAAAUGUACUGAUCGAUAUGAGCAUACAUACUGCAUAUGUAAAGGCUAUCCGAGCUGCCCAACAUUUCAUAUACGUGGAGAACCAAUACUUUCUCGGGUCAUCAUAUAAUUGGUCCAAAUACAAUGAUCUAGGUGCUAACAAUUUAAUACCAAUGGAAAUUGCUCUUAAGAUUGCAAACAAGAUCAAAGCGAAUGAGAGAUUUUCUGCCAAUAUAGUUAUCCCAAUGUGGCCUGAAGGUGAUCCGACAAGU